rnacentral:rRNA from 1 species
CUCAGGACGAACGCUGGCGGCGUGCCUAAUACAUGCAAGUCGAGCGGACUGAUGGGAGCUUGCUCCCUGAUGUUAGCGGCGGACGGGUGAGUAACACGUGGGCAACCUACCUGUAAGACUGGGAUAACUCCGGGAAACCGGGGCUAAUACCGGAUAACCCGUUCCUCCUCAUGGAGGGACGGUAAAAGAUGGCUUCUUGCUAUCACUUACAGAUGGGCCCGCGGCGCAUUAGCUAGUUGGUAAGGUAAUGGCUUACCAAGGCGACGAUGCGUAGCCGACCUGAGAGGGUGAUCGGCCACACUGGGACUGAGACACGGCCCAGACUCCUACGGGAGGCAGCAGUAGGGAAUCUUCCGCAAUGGACGAAAGUCUGACGGAGCAACGCCGCGUGAGUGAUGAAGGUUUUCGGAUCGUAAAGCUCUGUUGUUAGGGAAGAACAAGUGCCGUUCGAAUAGGGCGGCACC